rnacentral:rRNA from 1 species
UGAUGACGACCGGCGCACGGGUGCGCAACGCGUAUAGAAUCUGCCUUGUACUGGGGAAUAGCCCAGAGAAAUUUGGAUUAAUGCCCCAUGGUAUGUAACUGUGGCAUCACUAUUACAUUAAAGGUUACGGUACAAGAUGACUAUGCGUCCCAUUAGUUAGUUGGUAAGGUAACGGCUUACCAAGGCAGCGAUGGGUAGGGGCCCUGAGAGGGGGAUCCCCCACACUGGUACUGAGACACGGACCAGACUCCUACGGGAGGCAGCAGUGAGGAAUAUUGGACAAUGGGCGGGAGCCUGAUCCAGCCAUGCCGCGUGCAGGAAGACGGUCCUAUGGAUUGUAAACUGCUUUUGUACGGGAAGAAUAAGGGCUACGUGUAGUCUGUUGACGGUACCGUAAGAAUAAGGAUCGGCUAACUCCGUGCCAGCAGCCGCGGUAAUACGGAGGAUCCGAGCGUUAUCCGGAAUCAUUGGGUUUAAAGGGUCCGUAGGCGGGCCAUUAAGUCAGGGGUGAAAGUCUGCGGCUCAACCGUAGAAUUGCCCUUGAUACUGGUGGUCUUGAGUUAUGGUGAAGUGGCCGGAAUAUGUAGUGUAGC